GAUGAACGCUGGCGGCGUGCUUAACACAUGCAAGUCGAACGGAAAGGCCCAAGCUUGCUUGGGUACUCGAGUGGCGAACGGGUGAGUAACACGUGGGUGAUCUGCCCUGCACUUCGGGAUAAGCCUGGGAAACUGGGUCUAAUACUGGAUAGGACCACUUCUUGGAUGGUGUGGUGGAAAGUUUUUUCGGUGUGGGAUGAGUUCGCGGCCUAUCAGCUUGUUGGUGGGGUAAUGGCCUACCAAGGCGUCGACGGGUAGCCGGCCUGAGAGGGUGUACGGCCACAUUGGGACUGAGAUACGGCCCAGACUCCUACGGGAGGCAGCAGUGGGGAAUAUUGCACAAUGGGCGCAAGCCUGAUGCAGCGACGCCGCGUGGGGGAUGACGGCCUUCGGGUUGUAAACUCCUUUCGCUAGGGACGAAGCGUUUUUGUGACGGUACCUGGAGAAGAAGCACCGGCUAACUACGUG
rnacentral:rRNA from 1 species